rnacentral:lncRNA from 1 species
CGUUAAACAUCGCGCUCACGAAGAACAAAGAAGCCAGGGUAGCCUUCACCUGGAUACGUUAUCACUUAUAGAAGUCGAAGUAUGGUUACAAUGUAACUUUGCGGUGGUGCAGGAAUACUUACAUGUGAGUACAGAAAAGUGGGACUUUGUAUUCAGUUUUCUUGAUGUUGCGAGGUUUUUUGUUUUUUUUUUUGCAGUGGCCCCUUUAGGUAGGUGACGCGACCCUAUCCCGCGUAAUACCUGCUUUUCCAGAAGCCACUAAGGCACUGCAGACCGAGAGACAGCGGAAAGGCCCUUUAAAUAGUCUCGAGGCAGAACGCGCAGAGGCGCCGCCCACAUAGGCGGAUUUCAGCCAAUCGGGUGCCGCCGCACGUUCACAACGUUCUAUCCUGCCCGGUAACAUUGAGAGACCGAUGGAAUGGGGGUUGGGGGCGUCCGGAGAAUGACCCUCCAAACUUUUUCUGCAAUGCCUGUGGAACAGCUAUCGGGCAGACCGAUGCAGAGGCUCUUUGUGCCGCGCAAACACUUUGAGCGGCGCACAGCUGAGCUCUUCUUUGUGGCCCACGUCUGCCCACGGAGAAGUGGAAGCUGUUGGCUGCCUUCCACAUAUCGCAGAUCUGGUUCCUCGGCAGGAAAAUGAGACGAUGAGAAACGCGGCGAGAAGAAGCAGUAAAAACCACAACGCGGAAGGCUUUGAGACCCAGUAGUGUGUCCAGAAGGUCCGCAAAGACCCAAAGUACACAGAGUCGGCAACAAUUACAAGUGGAGAACAGUACAUUCUGCCGUUCUGUGCCUGAACCAAGAACUCGGGCCUUGUUUUCCUUCACUGGCGCCGAAAACCACUCAUGAAUGAAUACAUUAGGUUACUGUAAUAUUUACCUAGCAAUCGAAAACAUUUUCUUUUUUCAGGAAAAAUAUUUAAGAUUUUUUGGGAUAAACUGAUAAAACCACAUAAUAUAUACUGUGUCUGAUGCACUUUUAUAGUCAUAGUCAAGACAAUGUUUAACUCUUUCAUUGGAUACUGUUUAAGUGGAUGGUAACUUUUUUAUGUUUAUUGAAAAAGCACCUUUUCCAGAAAACAGAGAGCCUUCUAGUUAAAGCAUAAUGGAGGCCAGCUGUCAAGCCGCCCCCUUGGUUGCUAAAGGUUUGAGCGACCAGCAUUCCUUUCUGCAAUCUUUCUCUCCUUAUUUUUCCCCCAGCGACUGACCAUACUAAAGCAAAGGCUCCCGAGGAGCAAGCUGCAUAUUUUACUUAUAAAGCACUUCUAAACUAACGGCCUGUUUGCUUUUCAAAAUUAUGACAAAGGUGUAUUUAAGCAUUUAGAAAAGAAACAUCCUUUACCAAAUGGUGCUUUUAUUCCACCAUUGAAUCUUAUAUAAAUGUCAUUGACAGUGGAUUAGAUUGUAAUGAGCAACUAUGUAAAACAUAAACUGCCCAAAAAUCUCUUUACUUACAAGCAAGAUUAAAAAUAAUACUUUGUUCUUCAGUUUCUUCAAAGUAAGCAAAUCCAGAAAAGGCACUAUAGCUGCCAUUAAAAUGUUCAUUACAAGUAAUUUUCCCUGUAUGUUUUAAUGUUGCUUAAUAGUGGAGAACUUUUUUUUUUUUAUAAUUUGGUUGUACUAAUUUUUUUGGAAUAAGUAUUAGAAGAGUAACACUUAAAAAAGGACUUAAUCUUGCCAUGGUUGCACAAUAAAUUGAAGAAAAAAAUCA